AAAGUGCGUCCUAUGGAGCGAAAAAUACGGUAAUAAUAAUUAACAACAAUAAAUAAAUAAACAAGGAAUUGUCCCUAUUGCCUAGGGGCAGUCCCAGAUUUAUUUGUUCCAGUUGUGGCAGAAGAUGAUAAUAAAUUUAAAAGUUUCCACCACGUGUGGUGAGUUAUCCUGGACAUCCUUAAAUUUUUAAUGUUUCUCCUUUUCUUCUUCUUGGGCUCUGAUUCCGCCCCCCCCCGGUGAUUUGUUGGUAUGUGAUGAGUCCCAGAUUUACGUAACCUCCAGCAUGAAAAUAGGGAUGUCCUAUUCCAUCAUCAUCAUCACCAUACAUUUAUUAUUUAUAUCCCUGCCCAUCUGGCUUGGUUGCCCCAGCCACCCUGGGUGGCUCACAACAUACCGUACAUAAAAGCAUAAUAAAACAUUUAAAGAACUUCCCAAUAUAGGGCUGCCUUCCUGUCUUCUAAAGGUUUUAUAGGUUACUUAACUGCUUGGCUUGGGGGGUCACAUAACUCCAUACCCUCCAACAGUUCACCAAUGAAAAUAGGGACAUCUGAUGGAAAAGUGGGGCAUUCUGGGAUCAAAUCAGAAACCGGUAUGUCUUCUGUAAAUCUGGUACUGUUUCUGGGUAAUAGGGACACUUGGAGGGUCUGUAAUAAUGACAAUGGUGCCCACCUGAUGCCCACUUGAGAUGUGCUAGAACUGAGUUCCCAUGAGUUCCAGCUUGGAAAAAAAGUCUUGCUACCUACAUAGAAAACUGUAACUGAGGGUGUAAUCGUUGUAAGUAAAUGCAAUUCUUUCCAGCAAGCCUUUAAGCAGGCCCAAGUGUGUGAGAGCUGUAACCAGGCCCACAGAGCCACUUGCUUCCCUGACCCAAACAUGCCUUUAGGGCAGUGCGAGGGGGCGCAGAAUAAUAAUAAUUAAUAAAAACAGAAUUGUCGCGAAAACAAUAAAGCGGUGGGUUUUGUCCUCGCUCAGGGCACCUGCCAUGCGUCCCUCACACUGAAACACCUGUGUCAGACCUGCCUAGAGGUACCUCAUCCAAAACUGUUUUUGUAGCCAUUUCUUUAAAAGUUUGGUACAGCCAAAAUGGGAUGAAAAUGUUUAAACAGGUAUGAUUAAAGGAGGGGGCAGAAUUAUAAGAUCCAAUUUUGCCUGCAAAAGGUCCCCUUGCAAAACAUGUCCAUAGACCAAGGAGCGGGGAUUGGCAUGUCCACAGUAUGUAUGCAUGCACAGUACAAACAUUCAUUAGCUUGUUUGCAAUGUGUGAAACAAUUCAUAGAAUCAUAUGUAGAGUUGGAAGGGACCCAAGGGUCAUCUAGUCCGACCCCCUGCAAGGCAGGAAUCUCAGCUAAAGCUUCCAUGACAGAUAGCCAUCCAACCUCUGCUUAAAAACCUCAAAGGAAGGAGGCCCAAGACCCCAGGGGGAGAAAUCCUAGCCAGAAGUCCAUCAAAAACAAGUGGCCAUUGUGGUAUCAAGCUGUUUGUUCAAUGACAUAUCUUACGAUCCUUUUUUCUUAUUUAUUUUUUAACAGUGUCGGAAGACUCAUGCAUUCCCUUCCCACUUGGAACCGAAUCCAUGGUUGCAUUUGGCUUCUGAAAUCUAUGCAGACUGAGCCAACACUUUUUUUUUACAAAAAAAAAGUGGUCUGAAAGACUAGAAACUUGCUUUAAUAAAAUUAAUCUGCUAAACAUGACACUUCAUGAGCCUGGUAUUGCACAACAAACCCAGCAGGUUAUGGAAUGCAUACAGCUUCAAGCAUGACAGGCCAUAAAGGUAAAUAUUUAGGAAAGCCUAUUUCUGUAUGUUCCAGAUAAAUUGUGAAUCAAGUCAAAAAGUGCCUAGGAUGCUUAUCACACAGUGGGAACCCUUGGAUGAAAGCUGUCAGUGGUAUCUGACAAGCUAAGCUGUCUUCCUCCUGACAAAGUUGAUGUUCUAUUUACCUCAGUAAAAAGAUGG
rnacentral:lncRNA from 1 species